AUUGAACGCUGGCGGCAGGCCUAACACAUGCAAGUCGAGCGGAUGAAGGGAGCUUGCUCCUGGAUUCAGCGGCGGACGGGUGAGUAAUGCCUAGGAAUCUGCCUGGUAGUGGGGGAUAACGUCCGGAAACGGGCGCUAAUACCGCAUACGUCCUGAGGGAGAAAGUGGGGGAUCUUCGGACCUCACGCUCUCAGAUGAGCCUAGGUCGGAUUAGCUAGUUGGUGGGGUAAAGGCCUACCAAGGCGACGAUCCGUAACUGGUCUGAGAGGAUGAUCAGUCACACUGGAACUGAGACACGGUCCAGACUCCUACGGGAGGCAGCAGUGGGGAAUAUUGGACAAUGGGCGAAAGCCUGAUCCAGCCAUGCCGCGUGUGUGAAGAAGGUCUUCGGAUUGUAAAGCACUUUAAGUUGGGAGGAAGGGCAGUAAGUUAAUACCUUGCUGUUUUGACGGUACCAACAGAAUAAGCACCGGCUAACUUCGUG
rnacentral:rRNA from 1 species